GUAUAAGUUUAAUCGUUUAUCGAGAAACCGCGAACGGCUCAUUACAAUGGCCAUUAUUUACUUGAUCUUGAUUGUCUAAAUGGAUAACUGUGGAAAAGCUAGAGCUAAUACAUGCACUAAAGCUUUGUCCUUACGGAAAAGCGCAUUUAUUAGAACAAAACCACGCGGCUUCGGCUGCUUCUUGUUGACUCAGAAUAACUUAGCUGACCGCAUGGCCUUGUGCCGGCGGCGUGUCUUUCAAGCGUCCACUUUAUCAACUUGACGGGAGCAUAAUCGACUCCCGUGGUGGUGACGGAUAACGGAGGAUCAGGGUUCGACUCCGGAGAAGGGGCCUGAGAAAUGGCCACUACGUCUAAGGAUGGCAGCAGGCGCGCAAAUUACCCACUCUCGGCUCGAGGAGGUAGUGACGAGAAAUAACGAGACUGUUCUCUUUGAGGCCGGUCAUCGGAAUGGGUACAAUUUAAACCCUUUAACGAGUAUCAAGCAGAGGGCAAGUCUGGUGCCAGCAGCCGCGGUAAUUCCAGCUCUGCAAAUACAUAGAAUUAUUGCUGCGGUUAAAAAGCUCAUAGUUGGAUUCGUAUCGAUACCUUGGAACCCUUCGGGUGUCUCUAGGUGUUAUCGAUUUAUCGUAAUGUUCGGUUUUGAGUCCUUAACAGGAUUCUUAACAGGCAUUGCAAGUUUACUUUGAACAAAUCAGAGUGCUUCAAACAGGCGUUUUCGCUUGAAUGAUCGUGCAUGGAAUAAUAGAAAAUGAUUUCGGUUCAGUUUUAUUGGUUUUACGGACUGAGAUAAUGGUUAACAGAGACAAACGGGGGCAUUUGUAUGGCCUCGUGAGAGGUGAAAGUCUUGGACCGUGGCCAGACAAACUACAGCGAAAGCAUUUGCCAAGAAUGUUUUUAUUAAUCAAGAACGAAAGUCAGAGGUUCGAAGGCGAUCAGAUACCGCCCUAGUUCUGACCGUAAACGAUGCCAACUAGCGAUCCGCCGAUGGAAAUUAUAUUGCCUUGGUGGGGAGCUUCCCGGAAACGAAAGUCUUCCGGUUCCGGGGGAAGUAUGGUUGCAAAGCUGAAACUUAAAGGAAUUGACGGAAGGGCACCACCAGGAGUGGAGCCUGCGGCUUAAUUUGACUCAACACGGGGAAACUCACCCGGCCCGGACACUGUGAGGAUUGACAGAUUGAUAGCUUUUUCAUGAUUCAGUGGAUGGUGGUGCAUGGCCGUUCUUAGUUCGUGGAGUGAUUUGUCUGGUUUAUUCCGAUAACGAGCGAGACUCUAACCUACUAAAUAGUUGGUACAUACUCUUAGUGUAUACAGCUUCUUAGAGGGAUUUGCGGCGUUCAGCCGAAAGAAAUUGAGCAAUAACAGGUCUGUGAUGCCCUUAGAUGUCCGGGGCUGCACGCGCGCUACACUGGCAAAAUCAACGUGCUUGUCCUACCCUGAAAGGGGCGGGUAAACCAUUGAAAAUUUGCCGUGAUUGGGAUCGGAAAUUGCAAUUAUUUUCCGUGAACGAGGAAUUCCAAGUAAGUGCGAGUCAUCAGCUCGCGUUGAUUACGUCCCUGCCCUUUGUACACACCGCCCGUCGCUGCCCGGGACUGAGCCAUUUCGAGAAAUUUGGGGACCGUUGAUUUAAUUUUUCUAAAUUACUUUGAUGGAAACCAAUUUAAUCGCAGUGGCUUGAACCGGGCAAAAGUCGUAACAAGGUAGCUGUAGGUGAACCUGCUGCUGGAUCAUUACUUUAUGUGAUGUUCAAAUUUGAAUUCGCAAUGAAAUGAUCGUUGUGAAACGGCUGUCGCUGGUGUCUAAGUGUUGCUGAUACGGUUGUGAACGUCCGUGGCUGUAUAUGUGGUGACAUGUUAGGACUCUAAUGAGUUUAAGACCUAAUGAGCCUCUUAAGUGAGGCCGCCAGCAACCUUUUUUUUCUCUACAUUUUAAAAAAAAAACUAAAAUUCUACCCUUAUCGGUGGAUCACUAGGCUCGUGGAUCGAUGAAGAACGCAGCAAACUGCGAUAAUUAUUGCGAACU
rnacentral:rRNA from 1 species